rnacentral:rRNA from 1 species
AUUGAACGCUGGCGGAAUGCUUUACACAUGCAAGUCGAACGGUAGAGGGGGCAACCCCUCGAGAGUGGCGAACGGGUGAGUAAUAUAUCGGAACGUGCCCAGUCGUGGGGGAUAACGUAGCGAAAGUUACGCUAAUACCGCAUACGAUCUAAGGAUGAAAGCGGGGGAUCGCAAGACCUCGCGCGAUUGGAGCGGCCGAUAUCAGAUUAGGUAGUUGGUGGGGUAAAGGCUCACCAAGCCAACGAUCUGUAGCUGUUCUGAGAGGACGACCAGCCACACUGGAACGGAGACACGGUCCAGACUCCUACGGGAGGCAGCAGUGGGGAAUUUUGGACAAUGGACGCAAGUCUGAUCCAGCCAUUCCGCGUGCAGGAUGAAGGCCCUCGGGUUGUAAACUGCUUUUGUACGGAACGAAAAGGUCUCUCUUAAUACGGGGGGCUCAUGACGGUACCGUAAGAAUGAGCACCGGCUAACUACGUGCCAGCCGCCGCCGUAA